AUACGGAGGGGACUAGCGUCGUUCGGAAUUACUGGGCGUAAAGAGUUCGUAGGCGGACUGAUAAGUAAGAGGUGAAAUCCCAGGGCUCAACCCUGGAACUGCCUUUUAAACUGUCAGUCUAGAGACCGGAAGAGGUUAGGGGAAUACCUAGUGUAGAGGUGAAAUUCGUAGAUAUUAGGUGGAACACCAGUGGCGAAGGCGCCUAACUGGUCCGGUACUGACGCUGAGGAACGAAAGCGUGGGGAGCAAACAGGAUUAGAAACCCUUGUAGUCC
rnacentral:rRNA from 1 species